GAAAGCCAUAUGCCUCAGGAGCAUAAAAUCCCUGGGAAGUCGAAAUCAGCACUUGCAGGAAAGUCUACUAAAGGCAAAUGCUUCAGUUCUUCUUUUGAGCCCAGAAACUCAAUGAAAUUUCUACACAGAGAAAUAGUUGCCCCAGGGUGUGAAAGUAAGUUGAGAGUGGUCAUGUAGGUUUGAUUAUAUCAUAUCUUAAUGUACAAGUUAUAAAAUUAAAAAGAAAAAAAAAAACAAAUAUAGACUCAGGAUUGUCAGGUGGAGAACAGAUUCUCAACCAAGUCUGUAUUUACAACAAACAGGAAUUAAACAUUCAUCUGUAUUUACAACAAACAGGAAUUAAACAUUCAUCUGUAUUUACAACAAACAGGAAUUAAACAUUCAGAACUAGACUUUGGGGGCCUCCAUCUUCCUUUUCAACUUUCAGCAUCCUGAGGCCCUGGAACUUCCCAUUCCCAUGCGUCAGAUCUUUAUCUGCCACCAACUGUCCAGAUCCUUCUACAAUAAUGCCCUAUCCAGUGUCAUCUGUCUUUUAGUGAGUGAUUCCAGAAGACCUCAUAACUACCAAAGGAACAAAUGGAUGACUCUGUGGCCCACCAAGAAGAUUUGACUUCCACACCAGUGGGCAGACACCAGACUUCCCAACCUCAGGAAAAGGACAAGGAGACGAAUAUCUGCCUCCCGACUUUGUUUUUCUCUUUGUUUUGACUUUCAGGGGAAAGUCAGUCCAGAGAAGAAUGAGAGGGCCAUUGGCCAGACACUAGCUUCAGCUUAUAGACUGAUCAGAAUGGAAAUCUUGCUCACCCUCUCCCUUUUGCAUACUAAAGGAGCAAACUACAAAGGCUCUAGGUCUUACCAAUCUUUCCUCCACACUCUGGAAGACAUCUAAUUUUUAUUUUUUAGUGGGAAAACUCCUCCACAUCUAUAUUUUUACUUUCUGGUCUUCUGUGAUGAUCUUUUUUACUGCAAUAUCUUGACCUAUAGUGAGUGAUCAUUAAUAUCUACCCAUAAUUUUUGCUUUGCUUGCACAUAUUUCUUUUGUCCAGCCCAUCACCUCUACUCUGAAUGCAUUCAGAAUUAUUUGUAUAAAUAAAAAGCAAUGAAUGUAAUGCUGG
rnacentral:lncRNA from 1 species